rnacentral:rRNA from 1 species
UGGGGAAUAUUGCACAAUGGGCGCAAGCCUGAUGCAGCCAUGCCGCGUGUAUGAAGAAGGCCUUCGGGUUGUAAAGUACUUUCAGCGAGGAGGAAGGCGUUGUGGUUAAUAACCGCAACGAUUGACGUUACUCGCAGAAGAAGCACCGGCUAACUCCGUGCCAGCAGCCGCGGUAAUACGGAGGGUGCAAGCGUUAAUGGGCAUUACUGGGCGUAAAGCGCACGCAGGCGGUCUGUCAAGUCGGAUGUGAAAUCCCCGGGCUCAACCUGGGAACUGCAUCCGAAACUGGCAGGCUAGAGUCUUGUAGAGGGGGGUAGAAUUCCAGGUGUAGCGGUGAAAUGCGUAGAGAUCUGGAGGAAUACCGGUGGCGAAGGCGGCCCCCUGGACAAAGACUGACGCUCAGGUGCGAAAGCGUGUGGAGCAAACA